AACAUAUAAUUGUCUAGUUCAAGUCUGAAAACUAAGCUUUUGAAUUAUUAUUUUUUUUUCAAAUUAGAUAUCAUCUAUAUCGGACCAUCGUGUCAUAAUGGUUGGUAAUACUGAUAAAAACGGGCAUAAUCAACAACACAUAACAAACAUGUAUAUACCUCUUAAUCUAAAUAGUAGUAAUAAGGUUUUUCAAUAUAUAUAUAAUCAAC
rnacentral:lncRNA from 1 species